rnacentral:rRNA from 1 species
GAUGAACGCUGGCGGCGUGCCUAAUACAUGCAAGUCGGACGCAAUGCUUCGGCAUUGAGUGGCGAACGGGUGAGUAAGACAUAAGCAACCUGCCCCUGUGAGGGGGAUAACUGCUGGAAACGGCAGCUAAGACCGCAUAGGCAUAGAGGACGCAUGUCGACUAUGUUAAAUAUCCCACGGGAUAGCACAGGGAUGGGCUUAUGACGCAUUAGCCAGCUGGUGAGGUAACGGCUCACCAGGGCGACGAUGCGUAGCCGGCCUGAGAGGGUGGACGGCCACACUGGGACUGAGACACGGCCCAGACUCCUACGGGAGGCAGCAGUAGGGAAUUUUCGGCAAUGGGCGAAAGCCUGACCGAGCAACGCCGCGUGAAGGAAGAAGUCAUUCGUGAUGUAAACUUCUGUUAUGAAGGAAGAACGGCAGAUGGAGGGAAUGCCAUGUGCGUGACGGUACUUCAUGAGGAAGCCACGGCUAACUACGUGCCAGCAGCCGCGGUAAUACGUAGGUGGCGAGCGUUAUCCGGAAUCAUUGGGCGUAAAGAGGGAGCAGGCGGCAGUGCAGGUCUGCGGUGAAAGACCGGAGCUAAACUUCGGUAAGCCGUGGAAACCGCACAGCUAGAGAGCAUCAGAGGAUCGCGGAAUUCCAUGUGUAGCGGUGAAAUGCGUAGAUAUAUGGAGGAACACCAGUGGCGAAGGCGGCGGUCUGGGGUGCAGCUGACGCUCAGUCCCGAAAGCGUGGGGAGCAAAUAGGAUUAGAUACCCUAGUAGUCCACGCCGU